rnacentral:rRNA from 1 species
UGGGGAAUAUUGCACAAUGGGCGAAAGCCUGAUGCAGCGACGCCGCGUGAGGGAUGACGGCCUUCGGGUUGUAAACCUCUUUCAGCAGGGAAGAAGCGAAAGUGACGGUACCUGCAGAAGAAGCGCCGGCUAACUACGUGCCAGCAGCCGCGGUAAUACAUAGGGCGCAAGCGUUGUCCGGAAUUAUUGGGCGUAAAGAGCUCGUAGGCGGUUAGUCGCGUCUGCUGUGAAAACUCGAGGCUCAACCUCGGGCUUGCAGUGGGUACGGGCUGACUAGAGUGCGGUAGGGGUGACUGGAAUUCCUGGUGUAGCGGUGGAAUGCGCAGAUAUCAGGAGGAACACCGAUGGCGAAGGCAGGUCACUGGGCCGCAACUGACGCUGAGGAGCGAAAGCAUGGGGAGCGAACAGGAUUAGAUACCCUGGUAGUCCAUGCCGUAAACGUUGGGCACUAGGUGUGGGGUCCAUUCCACGGAUUCCGUGCCGCAGCAAACGCAUUAAGUGCCCCGCCUGGGGAGUACGGCCGCAAGGCU